GAUGAACGCUGGCGGCGUGCCUAAUACAUGCAAGUCGAGCGAACAGACGAGGAGCUUGCUCCUCUGACGUUAGCGGCGGACGGGUGAGUAACACGUGGAUAACCUACCUAUAAGACUGGGAUAACUUCGGGAAACCGGAGCUAAUACCGGAUAAUAUAUUGAACCGCAUGGUUCAAUAGUGAAAGACGGUUUUGCUGUCACUUAUAGAUGGAUCCGCGCCGGAUUAGCUAGUUGGUAAGGUAACGGCUUACCAAGGCGACGAUGCGUAGCCGACCUGAGAGGGUGAUCGGCCACACUGGAACUGAGACACGGUCCAGACUCCUACGGGAGGCAGCAGUAGGGAAUCUUCCGCAAUGGGCGAAAGCCUGACGGAGCAACGCCGCGUGAGUGAUGAAGGUCUUCGGAUCGUAAAACUCUGUUAUUAGGGAAGAACAAAAGUGUAAGUAACUAUGCACGUCUUGACGGUACCUAAUCAGAAAGCCACGGCUAACUACGUG
rnacentral:rRNA from 1 species